GUACACUCCUGCGGGAGGCAGCAGUGGGGAAUAUUGCACAAUGGGCGCAAGCCUGAUGCAGCCAUGCCGCGUGUAUGAAGAAGGCCUUCGGGUUGUAAAGUACUUUCAGCGGGGAGGAAGGCGAUAAGGUUAAUAACCUUGUCGAUUGACGUUACCCGCAGAAGAAGCACCGACUAACUCCGUGCCAGCAGCCGCGGUAAUACGGAGGGUGCAAGCGUUAAUCGGAAUUACUGGGCGUAAAGCGCACGCAGGCGGUCUGUCAAGUCGGAUGUGAAAUCCCCGGGCUCAACCUGGGAACUGCAUUCGAAACUGGCAGGCUAGAGUCUUGUAGAGGGGGGUAGAAUUCCAGGUGUAGCGGUGAAAUGCGUAGAGAUCUGGAGGAAUACCGGUGGCGAAGGCGGCCCCCUGGACAAAGACUGACGCUCAGGUGCGAAAGCGUGGGGAGCAAACAGGAUUAGAUACCCCAGUAGUCCCAUG
rnacentral:rRNA from 1 species